CCCUACGGGAGGCAGCAGUGGGGGAUAUUGCACAAUGGGGGGAACCCUGAUGCAGCGACGCCGCGUGGGUGAAGAAGCGCCUCGGCGCGUAAAGCCCUGUCAGCAGGGAAGAAAAUGACGGUACCUGAAGAAGAAGCCCCGGCUAACUACGUGCCAGCAGCCGCGGUAAUACGUAGGGGGCAAGCGUUAUCCGGAUUUACUGGGUGUAAAGGGGGCGCAAACGGCGAUGCAAGCCAGGAGUGAAAGCCCGGGGCCCAACCCCGGGACUGCUCUUGGAACUGCGUGGCUGGAGAGCAGGAGGGGCG
rnacentral:rRNA from 1 species